rnacentral:misc_RNA from 1 species
AACGCACAUUGCGCCCGUUAGCAUUCUAGCGGGCAUGCCUGUUCGAGCGUCAUUUCAACCCUCAGCAUCCCCUCUUUUGGGUGCUGGUGUUGGGGCUUCCUGCAGUUGCCGCAGGCCCUGAAAAUUAGUGGCGGGCUCCGCUAUACUCCGAGCGCAGUAAUAACUCUCGUUCAGGGCGUGUAGCGGGGGUAUCUAGCCUCCCCUAUAUAUCUAUAUUAUGGUUGACCUCGGAUCAGGUAGGAAUACCCGCUGAACUUAA